CUACAAGAGUACAGUAGCUCACAGGCUGUGGUGGGGUGUACUCGUCACGCUCGCUACGUUCAGCCGCGGAUGAGACUGAAGUAGUAAUUACUGUACCUUUGUUGUCUGUAUUAGCUAUAGGCAAUGUUGGGAACUCAUGAGAAAUCCUUCCCCUGCACUUACAGUACUCAGUGCCGAAUUUGUGGCGAAAAUAGAAAACAUAGCCUUGAGCAUUACAUAUGAGAGUGCAGACCAAAUCGCUCGCUCUUUGUUGCCACUUAACAAAACUCUGUAAAUUCAUCUUAACUACCAAUGUCUUGGACACUAAUUUACCGUUAUAUAGAAAAUUUUGUACCAUAUAAAAUACAUGCUCUGGGUGCGAGGUCCACUGCCUUAUUCUUUACCGUGUAAUUCAGUUUGACGGCUGAUUUGCAUGUGUACUGUACAGUAUAUAGGACUGCCGUCCUUAUAUAGGGUGCGAUGCGCGUCGGGGGAUUUGAACAGCCAGUAAGUGUACCUAGUAGUGCCUGACCCUAGUGCCAUGAAGUUGGCACCAUCACCUACCCACCUCCAGUGCCAUUAUGUGGUGGUGCUGGUCCUGAGCUGUGGCCUCAAUCUGGCACAUCAUCUCCCACCUAACGAAGGUGGGUUAUGCGUGAAGAAGAUUGACAUCCAGGAGAGUAAGAGCAAAGACACUGACGCUUACAAAUUCUACCUACACCUCGAGCCUGCCUGUUCCCCAGGUGAGUGACUGCUGGUACCUCCCCCACCC